AAGUCAAUGAGGAUGAAAAUUAUUGAUAUCUGGAAUUACCGUCUGAACACUACAUUGAUGUUAGAUCGACUAUCUGAGGCUUCAA